GAAAACGCGAGGAUUGAGAGUAGUAUGGUCGGCUGGCUUGUCUAGAGAGCUGCGGUUUGGUGCAACGCAGUCAAGCAAUCGUCCAGAACUCGCUCAUGAGUGGUGAGGCGGAAAUGUCGUACGCCUCGACGAUUCACCUACGUUAUCAGGUGGUUUUCAGCCGUUGGCUGAAACGUGAGUGGGUUUGGCGUAAAUGACAGCCGAAUCAAUGAGAGUGGUACCGCGGAGGGUUAUCAAGACCUGUCGUCUCUUAC
rnacentral:ncRNA from 1 species